rnacentral:rRNA from 1 species
UACAGAGGUCCCGAGCGUUGUUCGGAUUCACUGGGCGUAAAGGGUGCGUAGGUGGCUGGGAAAGUUUGAUGUGAAAGCUCAGGGCUUAACCCUGAAAUGGCAUUGAAUACUACUUAGCUGGAGGUUUGGAGAGGGAUGUGGAAUUCCAGGUGUAGCGGUGAAAUGCGUAGAUAUCUGGAGGAACACCGGUGGCGAAGGCGGCGUUCUGGACUGCAACUGACACUGAGGAACGAAAGCCAGGGGAGCAAACGGG